AUUGAACGCUGGCGGCAUGCCUUACACAUGCAAGUCGAACGGUAACAGGUUAAGCUGACGAGUGGCGAACGGGUGAGUAAUAUAUCGGAACGUGCCCGGUCGUGGGGGAUAACGUAGCGACAGCUACGCUAAUACCGCAUACGAUCUAUGGAUGAAAGCGGGGGAUCGCAAGACCUCGCGCGAUUGGAGCGGCCGAUAUCAGAUUAGGUAGUUGGUGGGGCAAAGGCCCACCAAGCCAACGAUUUGUAGCUGGUCUGAGAGGACGACCAGCCACACUGGAACUGAGACACGGUCCAGACUCCUACGGGAGGCAGCAGUGGGGAAUUUUGGACAAUGGGCGAAAGCCUGAUCCAGCCAUUCCGCGUGCAGGAUGAAGGCCCUCGGGUUGUAAACUGCUUUUGUACAGAACGAAAAGGUUUCUACUAAUACUAGGAGCUCAUGACGGUACUGUAAGAAUAAGCACCGGCUAACUACGUGCCAGCCGCCGCAGUAA
rnacentral:rRNA from 1 species